rnacentral:rRNA from 1 species
CAGGGUUUGACAUCCCGAGAAGGCUUCCGAAAGGAAACUGUGCCGCAAGGAACUCGGUGACAGGUGUUGCAUGGCCGUCGUCAGCUCGUGUCGUGAGAUGUUUGGUUAAGUCCAUCAACGAGCGCAACCCUUUUAGUCAGUUGGAUUUCUCUGGCUAGACUGCCCCGGUAACGGGGAGGAAGGAGGGGAUGAUGUCAGGUCAGUAUUACCCUUACACCCUGGGCUAGAAACACGCUACAAUGGCCGGUACAAAGGGCAGCCAAGUCGCGAGACGGAGCAAAUCCCAUCAAAGCCGGUCCCAGUUCGGAUAGCAGGCUGAAACUCGCCUGCUUGAAGUCGGAAUCGCUAGUAACGGUGAGUCAGCACAUCACCGUGAAUACGUUCCC